CCUACGGGUGGCAGCAGUGGGGAAUAUUGCACAAUGGGCGCAAGCCUGAUGCAGCCAUGCCGCGUGUGUGAAGAAGGCCUUCGGGUUGUAAAGCACUUUCAGCGGGGAGGAAGGCGUUAAGGUUAAUAACCUUGGCGAUUGACGUUACCCGCAGAAGAAGCACCGGCUAACUCCGUGCCAGCAGCCGCGGUAAUACGGAGGGUGCAAGCGUUAAUCGGAAUUACUGGGCGUAAAGCGCACGCAGGCGGUCUGUCAAGUCGGAUGUGAAAUCCCCGGGCUCAACCUGGGAACUGCAUUCGAAACUGGCAGGCUAGAGUCUUGUAGUGGGGGGUAGAAUUCCAGGUGUAGCGGUGAAAUGCGUAGAGAUCUGGAGGAAUACCGGUGGCGAAGGCGGCCCCCUGGACAAAGACUGACGCUCAGGUGCGAAAGCGUGGGGAGCAAACAGGAUUAGAUACCCUUGUAGUC
rnacentral:rRNA from 1 species